UUGAACGCUGGCGGCAGGCCUCACCCAUGCAAGUCGAGCGGAUGAAGGGAGCUUGCUCCUGGAUUCAGCGGCGGACGGGUGAGUAAUGCCUAGGAAUCUGCCUGGUAGUGGGGGAUAACGUCCGGAAACGGGCGCUAAUACCGCAUACGUCCUGAGGGAGAAAGUGGGGGAUCUUCGGACCUCACGCUAUCAGAUGAGCCUAGGUCGGAUUAGCUAGUUGGUGGGGUAAAGGCCUACCAAGGCGACGAUCCGUAACUGGUCUGAGAGGAUGAUCAGCCACACUGGAACUGAGACACGGUCCAGACUCCUACGGGAGGCAGCAGUGGGGAAUAUUGGACAAUGGGCGAAAGCCUGAUCCAGCCAUGCCGCGUGUGUGAAGAAGGUCUUCGGAUUGUAAAGCACUUUAAGUUGGGAGGAAGGGCAGUAAGUUAAUACCUUGCUGUUUUGACGUUACCAACAGAAUAAGCACCGGCUAACUUCGUG
rnacentral:rRNA from 1 species